GUCCUAUUGGCAUUCUUUCUCAUCCACGCUGCACACUUUUGUUCCAAGCGGCAUCGUGAGAUCAGGCGAGACAUAGAGAGUGGCUCCGGGGCCUCGACGUUGCUCAACAGGAUUCCGCAGGGCCUGGAUUAAACGAUUGGAGCCUGAGGUUUGAGAUGGGUUUGUCAUCAGCAACAUGCUUCCCAAGUCCACUUCUUCUUCUCCUCACUCUGCAAUGGGGAAAGAAAAACAGCCACAAAGGACCUAUUGUCACCUUUCGAACUCAGCAAGGUCUUCUGUUAAGUUACACACCAUUACUCUAGUCUAUAGCACUGUGCUCUCAUUGACUUUAUGAGAGGCAUAACCUAGAGCUCUGUUCAACUCAAUGGAUGAGUUUGCAUCAAGGUUUCUGUGGACUGUUGUAGUGUUGUUGAUAAUUGUAUGCAGCACAGGAAUUGUUCCUCGCUAAUACCCUUUGCUCUUCACUUACCUUGCAUUGCACACUUCUGGCAUUGCAUUGUUACUCAUCGACAAUCACAUUGAUACAAUUGGACAUUGCGCUAAGGCCUCGCCAUUACCAUUCUAGCCCAUUACGCUGCCUUGUCAAUGGAUCAGCUGGUUCUCAGAAGAGCAAAACCAACUGAAUGGGAGCAGAAACAGGACAGCUUAACGACAACACAUUGUCAGAAGAGAAGGAUGCUGUGACGACUGGCUAAUCGUUUUCUCAAAAUACACUGUCGAAUCACCAAGCUGUCAAAGUUGUUGUUUUUCCAACCGUCUGUUUACUGCUGCUGGACCUCCUCAGACAACGACAAUCUGUUCGGAUUAUUUUGUAAAUCAUAUUAGAAAAUGGUGGCCGUCAAUCAACAGGAAAUCACACAGUACUUGUGUGGUGGAGUUGGGGGCCCAGCAGGCGUUCAGGACCCAGCCCAAGAACAUGACGGUGCGUGCGGGGACUACGGUGAUGCUGAGGUGUGAGGUGCUGAGGCCCUCAGGGGCCGUCCAGUGGGUGAAGGAUGACCUGCUUCUGGGUCCACAACAGAGUCUGCCGGGGUUCCCUCACUACAGCCUGUUGGGGGACCCUA